CCUGACUACCAAGUCAGCCAUGAAGAAAAUAGAAGACAACGACACUCUUGUGUUCAUUGUGGAUGUCAAGGCCAACAAGCACCAGAUCAAACAGGCCUGUCUCUUAUACACAUUUGAC